GUGCAGUGGCAGAGCGUCUGUCUAGUAAACAGAAGGUCGCUGGUUCGAUUCCAGC
rnacentral:tRNA from 1 species